CUCACUAUAAGAUUUGAUCGGAUGAGAUUUGACCGAAAAUAUCAGGGCAUGUUUCCCAUUUCUCCUGUUCCCUGGCUUCCCAAUACCCUCCAAUGUAGCGGUGGGUAUCCGAGCCUUUGUCCUUUGCAAACCACUGAGGCUUCCAACCCCUCUCUUGCAUCUUCCGGGCCUGAUUUCCAGAAAUAAAUAAAAAUGCAAACAUGUUCAAGGAUAGUAUAGCACACAAGUUGCACCAUUUUAUGAGCUAAUGUAAUAUGUGAAAUCCCAAGACAAAGACAGAAGAUUCAGGCAUACAACAAGUGCAAAUAGAUAACAUUUUCAAUUUCAUUUUAUUUCUACUAUACUGCCAAUGUAAUUGUACAGUACACUACCUUACCAUAAGAGAGAACCCAACGACACCUUUAGAAGCUAAAACGUAUAGGGAGAAAAAGAGGGACUGUGUAAUCUAGUUAAAUUCACUUCUUGCUCUAAGGGCAUUAUGAAGGACCAAUAAUGUGGUUUAUGUUAAGUUUACUAUUAAUCAUGAGAAAGGGUAUCAUAGCGGAGUCACAAAGAAACCAGCUGAGAAAAAUUGGAGAUUUUUUUUAAUAAAGAAGCCACCAAACACAUCAACCUCUAGAUUCUGGCUCAUGCAUCUAAUUUUUAGCUGAUGAGUCAGCUGCAUGAUUAGUCUGAAACAAGCUCAAACAGUUACCUGCCGCUGCCGCUGCUCCAGUCGCAAUUUUUC
rnacentral:lncRNA from 1 species